UACAUGGGGUGCAAACGUUGCUCGGAAUUAUUGGGCGUAAAGCGCACGUAGGCGGUUUGUUAAGUCGGAUGUGAAAUCCCUCGGCUCAACUGAGGAAGUGCAUCUGAAACUGGCAAGCUUGAGUACGAAAGAGGGUCGCGGAAUUCCCGGUGUAGAGGUGAAAUUCGUAGAUAUCGGGAGGAACACCGGUGGCGAAGGCGGCGACCUGGGUCGAUACUGACGCUGAGGUGCGAAAGCGUGGGGAGCAAACAGG
rnacentral:rRNA from 1 species